rnacentral:rRNA from 1 species
ACGCCUUAUACAUGCAAGUCGAACGAAGUAGCAAUACUUAGUGGCAGACGGGUGAGUAACAUGUAGGUAUCUUCCCUUUGGUGAGGAAUAACACGAGGAAACUUGUGCUAAUACCUCAUAAGUCUUUACGGAGAAAGCUUUAUGCGCCGAAGGAUGAGCCUGCACUUGAUUAGUUUGUUGGUGGGGUAAUGGCCUACCAAGACUUUGAUCUAUAGCUGAUCUGAGAGGAUGAUCAGCCACAUUGGGACUGAGACACGGCCCAAACUCCUACGGGAGGCAGCAGUAGGGAAUAUUGCACAAUGGAGGAAACUCUGAUGCAGCGAUGCCGCGUGAGUGAAGAAGGCCUUUGGGUUGUAAAGCUCUUUCGUCGGGGAAGAAAAUGACUGUACCCGAAUAAGAAGGUCCGGCUAACUUCGUGCCAGCAGCCGCGGUAAUACGAAGGGACCUAGCGUAGUUCGGAAUUACUGGGCUUAAAGAGUUCGUAGGUGGUUAAAAAAGUUGGUGGUGAAAUCCCAGAGCUUAACUCUGGAACUGCCAUCAAAACUUUUUAGCUAGAGUAUGACAGAGGAAAGCAGAAUUUCUAGUGUAGAGGUGAAAUUCGUAGAUAUUAGAAAGAAUACCAAUUGCGAAGGCAGCUUUCUGGAUCAUUACUGACGCUGAGGAACGAAAGCAUGGGUAGCGAAGAGGAUUAGAUACCCUCGUAGUCCAUGCCGUAAACGAUGUGUGUUAGACGUUGGAAAUUUAUUUUCAGUGUCGCAGCGAAAGCGUUAAACACACCGCCUGGGGAGUACGACC